UCUAGAGCCGUCGGGUAGGGAGUGGCCAUGAUCUUGGGGUCACCGGGGAGAGAGGUGGCCCUUUGUGGCUUCCAGAGGUCGGUACUGAAGGCGAACGUGCUUCAGUUGGGUGGCCGGGAGUUGCACCAGUUAUAAGCCGGGCGUGUUUCGAUCCGCUGGUAGUUGUUUACUUGGUGAGGUUUGCGCCCGGCGGAGGGCGGUUGCCGUAUACCUAAAAUCGGAGUCAGCAGCACUUUCCCUUUCCAGUGAGGAAUAUCAAUUCUUCUACGGUUAAGCCGGGAAAACAGCGGCUAGUUUGGGAGGGAAGAAACCCCUUGGGCAAAUGCCCAAAGCCUGCAUAUAUUCCGGCCGGAGCAUCCUGGCGCCCAGUUUGGGGAGGAGGGGUGAACGGGAAGAUCUGGAUACGAAGCCCGGCAGGGAGAGGGUAACUCCCGGAGCCACUCCGCCGAGCACUGCCUGCGACCCUGAUCGAGGAUACCAUUCUGGUUGCUCAGUGAUUGACCAGGAGGUGGAAGCCAGUUAGGGGGACCAAGGAGUGGAGUAGGGAGAGCCUCCAUCGGCCCACGGAUGCGAGGUAGUGUUCGAAUCUUUGGGAGCUCGAAAAGCUUCGCCAAAUCUGACUUCCUUCAUCUAGUCUCUGUUUGGCAGCCCCGCGCCCCAGAGCAGGUGUUUGGGGCGGGAAGGGGGGUUGUUUUGGUUUGGUUUUUGGAUCUUCUAAAGGAGUCAGGAUCUGUUGGGAAGCAACCCCUAGGCAAGGAGAAGAACUGGGAGCCCGGAGCGGAGCGUGUUUCAGAGAAUCCUUGUGGGGGGGGGGAGGGGAAGAGCACCGGUGCGAACCCCGGGGUGCCCCCUCGCCCGACUUCGACUUCUUUGACUUAAGAGGUGGGAGGAGUUCCCUGCAGCCUGCGGGGCCGAGAAGUAAGUGCUAAACUCAGGAGCCGCAGUCGGAGGACCCUAGGGACCCGACAGGAAGUCUCCGUUCGACCCCCACGGAUCCACAUGCCCGGAAACCUAGGCGACCCUAAGCCAGCGCUGGGGAACUGUCGUACUCCUGCAGUCGCAGGGCGCUCCAUGCCUCUCUCUCCUUUUCUUUCUUGGGGAUAACGUUCUCUGCGGGAGACCUGAGGUUACCCAAGGGGAACUCGCCUUCUACACUGGCCUUGGCGCCCUGAGAUAAGCACCAGGACUCACAGCCUAGCUCGAAGGCAGGUAGCACCUUCACCCGCCGCGGAAGAUAGGUGCUCUCCUGCACCUCCUUUAGCUCUCGAGGCCCGCCCUACGCGAGGUCCCAGGGAAAAGCAGGCUGUGGAAAACUGGGCGCUCCCUUAUUUCACCCACCUUCUUACCCCUGUCAGCUCCGAGAUCUGUGGCAGAGGUUCCUGGUCUGAACCACCGAUUGGUAAAGAAAGCUGCAGAUUAAACUCCUCGUUUUACAGAGAAGGAAACUGAGGCCCAGACAGACGAAAGAGAGGCAAGCUAUGGAGCGCAGCGGUAAAAAGCAAGGGAUUGGUGGCCCCAGAAUGGAACCUCAGUUCUGCCAGGUAACCAACAGCUGUGUGACCCUAGACGAGUUCCGCAGUCUCUCUGAGCCUCAGUUUCCUUACUGGUCAAACGGGAUAAUGGGAUACUAGCGCCCACCUCAUAGAGUUGUUCUGAGGAUUAGAUAGGAGAAUAGUGUUGACCUUGGACUCAAUUAACUUUACAGUUUUUGUUACUACUACUGUUUAAGGACAGGAAACAAGUUAGUGGCAAAGCCGAGCUGAAACCCAGGUCUCUCAACAUCCGGUUGGAGGUUUUAUCCACCACCCUUCUGCCUCUUUAGAGCUAGUAGGAUGCAGAGGCAAGGAGAGCCCCUGGAAAACCAUGUGGCGUUGAUACACCGGCAAAGCGCAGGCAUCCCCGCCUCGAAGGUGCAUAAUUAUUGCCAUAUGAAAAAAUCGAGGCUGGAUGGGAGCAGGGCAGUGAGGAUCUCUCAAUCCCUACUUUUACCCCGGAGCUGUUCACUACAUCUGACCCAGCGCGGAGCUGGGCUGCUAUACAGCCGCAACCCCAGGGACCAAUGCGCACGCCCGGGCCGCCCUCCGGGAGACACCCUGCGGCCAUGGACAACUGAAUAAACACCCCGAAGCACUGCGAUCGGUCAAGGGCGGUGACAGCCACCCUGCGCGCGGGGCCCGCCGGCUGUAAUAAAGAGUGGCUCGACCUCGCUGCCGCCUGUCGCGGGAGAGGAACAGGCGUUCGACUAGCACCUCUCUCCAGGACCCGCGCCCGGAGCCCCAUGCGCAAGACAGCCCUACAGCUAGCUGCUGCUCCCCUCCCCGCCGACUCCAACUCCUCGGAAUCUGCCCACUCGGGGCUGCGGGGCAAGUGUUUAGGAUGGUUCCCAGCCCCGCACUGGCGGUAAAAAUUUCAACGUCAUUUCUUUAAUUAAAAAAAAAAAAAAAAAAAAAAAGGCAAGGGAGGAGCUUUUCUGAUAACUACUCCCAGCUUCUUCUGAUCAUUUCAAAAUGAACUCAAUUUUUUUUUAACCAGUCCCUACUUACGGUUCUAAGUCUCCUCUCUGACCCUGUCUAGGGGCCAGGAACCAUUAGGUACUGCCGAGUGCGGUGCAAAAUUUCCCCCUUUCCCCCAGUUCGCAGUGCCUGGAGCCACGGGGUUACCCGUCUGUUCUGAUGCCACCGCGAGAUGGUCCCCGAGCUCCCCGAGAGUCCUCACUGAAAGGAUUCCGCGGCGCUGCCUCUAUUAUUAUACCGUAAAUCUUUUUAAAUUCUGGAACUAAUUAUAUAGAGGAUAUGUCUCAAUUUGUUCUGCAUUAAUGCCACAGUGGGGAUGGAGGCCAGGCCGUGGCCAGAGCAGAUAUGUAGGCCCAUGAAAUUGAUGAACUGAGAGUUGCUUCCAGUCCUGAGCGCACCAUCUGGAAUUCCAGUCUGAGGUUACAAUUAGAACUCCUGACCCCAGAUUCAACUUUGCAAACAACAGGAAAAAAAAUGGGGAAAAGAAAAACCAUGAGAGAGGGAAAAAAAAAUUAUUCUGCACCUGUAAAAAAAAAAAAA